GCCUUCGCAGCCUCACACGAUGGCCCCCUGGGUCCACUUCUCUCAAACUGUCUUUUUAUCAUUCCUUUGACUCCGCCGGACUUCGUCGCCCCCACGACCUGGUGUUGGGUCUGAUCACCCCAACAGCAGUGAGCAAGGUGAACCCAUUGGGCAAUUACAGCAUCUCCUGGGAAAGAUAGAUCCUGUAAACAGGUCCUGAUACCCAACAGCAAUCUCUCAGGGACCCAAGACCAAAGCAACUUUCUUGCUUCCUCCUUCACAUGACUGGAAAUGGAUAUGCUGCUCAGGCGAGGCAGAGCUCAGAACAAUACUUCCAAGGACACCUUCUAAAGAGUGGCACUGCUCCUUAUGCUGCGUUGCUGAAAGAAGACACUCUAAAAAUCUGUGAGCAUCUGCUUCUGUCAUAGAAUCCAAAGAAGACUGAACUUCUUGUGACUCCGCCAUUGUAAAAGAACUCUUCUCUCACUAUUCCUGUGUGAGAAUUUCCUAUAAGAUUCAAAUGAAAUGAGCAUACAUGCACACAUCCAGGUUUAACCCAAAGUAAAGCAAAGCAAAGCACUUAAAAAAAAAUCUCACCUAGGCUUAAUUUUUUUAAAAAAGUACAUUAAAAAAGAAGAUAUACCUUUGCAAAUAUAGUCUUGACAUAAAUUGGCAGGUCUCCAUGGGGACUUCCAUAACCCCCUACAAUACUAAACCCCAAUCCUUCAGAGCCUUUCUCCAAAGUAAUAAUCUUAGGUGGAGGUGUUCUGAAAACACAAUGCAUGCUGUUUAAUUCGAGAAUAGAUAUUGAGAGGGAAUUUCAUUUAAUUGGAAGAAUACAGAUUUGAGAGAGACUUUCAUACUGCAAAACUAUGAAGUUUGGUUUAUCAGAUCAAACUCUCAGAAAGCAAUCUAGAAAGUUAUUUUCUAACUUCUCAUGUCAUGCUAAUUAAUCACCAAUAUUCUUGAUGUUUUAGAGGUUUCUCUUUCAUAAAACUCACUGAUUUCUAAUUAAAGAUAAAGUCAUGAUGCUGAAAUUGUCAAAGCACUCUUCUAUAUGCUUAGUUUUUAACUUUUUUUUUCUUUUUUUGAGAUGGAGCUGGGACUACGGGUGUGUGCCAUACCUGGCUAAUUUUUGUAUUUUUAGUAGAGAUGGGUUUUCACCAUGUUGGCCAGGCUGGUCUCGAACUCCUGACCUCAAGUGAUCUGCCUGCCUCUACCUCCCAAAGUGCUGGGAUCACAGGCAUGAGCCACUGCACCCGGCCAGUUUUUAACUUUCAAACUUACUGCUGACAGCUGAAGGAAGCUGUCGUCACAUCCUUGAAGCAUGUGCAUGGAGACAGAGGUAGCGUGUCUCCUAGUGUGGUGGGAGACUGCCAGUCUUCACAUAAACUCUUGUCCAUAACAGAUAACAUCAGCUCGCAGCUCAGGAAACUGCUGCUCCUUUUAUUUUACCUUUUUUUUUUUUCUUUUGAGACAGAGUCUUGCUCUGUCACCCAGGCUGGAGUGCAGUGGCACAAUCUUGGCUCACUGCAACCUCCACCUCCCGGAUUCAAGCGAUUCUCCUGCCUUAGCCUCCUAGUAGCUGGGAUUACACACGUGUACUACCAUGCCCAGCUAAGUUUUGUAUUUUUAGUAGAGAUGAGGUUUCGCCAUGUUGACCAGGCUGGUCUCGAACUCCUGACCUCAGGUGAUCCACCUGACGCCUCCCAAAGUGCUGGGAUUCCAGGCGUGAGCUGCCGCACUCAGACUGCUGCUCCUUUUCUGCCAGAAUGCCCUGGCCACUUCCACAUAAGGCAGGAACUCAUUCUCCAAACUCACUUCCAAUGUGAGGCUCUCCUGCCUCCCUUGGGAGGAUGGGUCCCACAACCUUUUCUGUGCUUCCCCUGCAUUGAGUCCAAAUUUCCAUUUUGGCACUGACUGUAUCAUAUUGUAAUUACUUAGCCAUCCAUUUCCUCUACCAGACUAUGACCUCUUUGUCUUAGUCAUCUGAGACUUCCCAGCACCAUGUGUGGUGCUUGUCAGAAACUCAGGAUCAUGACUGUGUAGAUGAGAACUGAAAUCCAGGAGAGAAGAGAGAAACCAAGGUGAAACAAAAUGGAGAAAGAAAAUCUGUUUCAAAUGUAAAAUUUAGCUUUUCAAAGCUUCGUCCAGUGUGGAAGUCUUCUCUCUCAGAAACAACAUGGCUAAAAAUUAAAUUACCUAUGUGGGCUCCCAGUAAUUUAAUCUUAAUCUAAGUUUAGGUGAUGCCAAUUUCUUAUUCCCAAAUGCUAUUGCUCAAAAGGCAGAAACCCAGACCCUGUCUUAUUUAUGAUAGGUAGUUCAUAUUUGUGUACUGGCAGCAUCCUUUGUUUUGUGGCAACAUGCAUGUCUGAGAGGCAAAGUCAUCUCAUAUAAACUCAGCCAUUCAUGUACUUAGAGAAAUUUGCAAAAUGGGGACACAAGCAAUCUUUGAAUAUGUUGUUCUAUUUAACUAGAAUAUUCUUCCCUCUCUCCCUCCUCAAUUUUGCUGGGUUUAUUUAUUUAUUUUUUUGAGACAGAGUCUCGCUCUGUCGCCCAGGCUGGAGUGCAGUGGCGCUAUCUCGGCUCACUGCAAGCUCUGCCUCCCGGGUUUAUGCCAUUCUCCUGCCUCAGCCUCCCGAGUAGCUGGGACUACAGGCGCCUGCCACCACUCCUGGCUAAUUUUUUUGUAUUUUUAGUAGAGACGGGGUUUUUCACCAUGUUAGCCAGGAUGGUCUCGAUCUCCUGACCUCAUGAUCUGCCCGCCUCAGCCUCCCAAAGUGCUGGGAUUACAGGCGUGAGCCACCGCGCCUGGCCAAUUUUGCUGGGUUUAUUAAAGGGUUUUCAGCUGGUUCACAUUGUUACCAGUUGUUUGCUGAUGUACUUACUGUUUGUUUACAGCAGACAUCCAUAGUUAUUGCUGACGAUCUAUGCUAUAUAAAUUGUUAACUGA